AGGGAAUCUUCCGCAAUGGACGAAAGUCUGACGGAGCAACGCCGCGUGAGUGGAGAAGGUCUUCGGAUCGUAAAACUCUGUUGUUAGGGAAGAACAAGUAUCGUUCGAAUAGGGCGGUACCUUGACGGUACCUAACCAGAAAGCCACGGCUAACUACGUGCCAGCAGCCGCGGUAAUACGUAGGUGGCAAGCGUUGUCCGGAAUUAUUGGGCGUAAAGCGCGCGCAGGCGGUCUUUUAAGUCUGAUGUGAAAGCCCACGGCUCAACCGUGGAGGGUCAUUGGAAACUGGAAGACUUGAGUGCAGGAGAGGAGAAUGGAAUUCCUAGUGUAGCGGUGAAAUGCGUAGAGAUUAGGAAGAACACCAGUGGCGAAGGCGAUUCUCUGGACUGUAACUGACGCUGAGGCAUGAAAGCGUGGGUAGCAAAC
rnacentral:rRNA from 1 species